CCAAUAGCGUAUAUUAAAGUUGUUGCAGUUAAAAAGCUCGUAGUUGAAUUUCGGGAUUAGUAAGUUGGUCGUGCCUCUGGUAUGUACUGGCUUUACUGGUUCCUCCUUCUUGAAGAACUGUAAUGUCAUUAAUUUGGUGUUGCAGGGAAACAGGACUGUUACUUUGAAAAAUUUAGAGUGUUUAAAGCAGGCUAACGCUUGAAUACAUUAGCAUGGAAUAAUGAAAUAGGACGUUUGAUCCUAUUUUGUUGGUUUCUAGGAUUGACGUAAUGAUUAAUAGGGAUAGUUGGGGGCAUUAGUAUUCAAUUGUCAGAGGUGAAAUUCUUGGAUUUAUUGAAGACUAACUACUGCGAAAGCAUUUGCCAAGGAUGUUUUCAUUAAUCAAGAACGAAAGUUAGGGGAUCGAAGACGAUCAGAUACCGUCGUAGUCUUAACCAUAAACUAUGCCGACUAGGGAUCGGAUGAUGUUAAUUUUUUAAUGACUCAUUCGGCGCCUUACG
rnacentral:rRNA from 1 species